rnacentral:rRNA from 1 species
UACGUAGGGUGCGAGCGUUGUCCGGAUUUAUUGGGCGUAAAGAGCUCGUAGGCGGUUUGUCGCGUCGGCCGUGAAAUCUCCACGCUUAACGUGGAGCGUGCGGUUGAUACGGGCAGACUUGAGUUCGGUAGGGGGAGACUGGAAUUCCUGGAUGUAGCGGUGAAAUGCGCAGAUAUCAGGAGGAACACCGGUGGCGAAGGCGGCUUUCUGGACAAGAUACCGACGCUGGAGGCACGAAAGCUAGGGAGCAAACAGG